rnacentral:tRNA from 1 species
GGUUAAUUUGAUUUAUUGGUAAAAUCAGGCUAUUUGCUAUAUAGUCCCUUUAUAGGUUCAGUGUUCGAUUCACUGGUUAACCG